UACGUAGGCAGCAAGCGUUGUUCGGAGUUACUGGGCGUAAAGGGUGUGUAGGCGGUUGUUUAAGUUUGGUGUGAAAUCUCCCGGCUCAACUGGGGAGGGUGCGCCGAAUACUGGAAUGACUCGAGUGCGGGAGAGGAAAGUGGAAUUCCUGGUGUAGCGGUGAAAUGCGUAGAUAUCAGGAGGAACACCGGUGGUGUAGACGGCUUUCUGGACCGUAACUGACGCUGAGACACGAAAGCGUGGGUAGCAAACAGG
rnacentral:rRNA from 1 species